UACGUAGGGGGCAAGCGUUGUCCGGAUUUAUUGGGCGUAAAGAGCGUGUAGGCGGUUAGGUAGGUCCGCUGUGAAAACUCGAGGCUCAACCUCGAGACGCCGAUGGAAACCAUCUGACUAGAGUCCGGAAGAGGAGAGUGGAAUUCCUGGUGUAGCGGUGAAAUGCGCAGAUAUCAGGAAGAACACCCGUGGCUAAGGCGGCUCUCUAGUACGUGACUGACGCUGAGACGCGAAAGCGUGGGGAGCGAACAGG
rnacentral:rRNA from 1 species